CCUACGGGUGGCAGCAGUGGGGAAUAUUGCUCAAUGGGGGCAACCCUGAUGCAGCGACGCCGCGUGAAGGAAGAAGUAUUUCGGUAUGUACACUUCUAUCUGCAGGGAAGAAAAUGACGGUACGUGACCAAGAUGCCCUGGCUAACUACGUGCCAGCAGCCGCGGCAAUACGUAGGGGGCAAGCGUUAUCCGGAUUUACUGGGCGUACAGGGAGCGUAGGCGGUGCAGCAAGUCAGAAGGGAAAGCCCGGGGCUAAACUCCGGGACGGCUUUUGAAACUGUUGAACUAGAUUGCAGGAGAGGUAAGUGGAAUUCCUGGUGUAGCGGUGAAAUGCGUAGAUAUUAGGAGGAACACCAGUGGCGAAGGCGGCUUACUGGACUGUAAAUGACGCUGAGGCUCGAAAGCGUGGGGAGCAAACAGGAUUAGAUACCCGAGUAGUC
rnacentral:rRNA from 1 species